AAGUCGUAACAAGGUUUCCGUAGGUGAACCUGCGGAAGGAUCAUUAAUACGUUUUAAACAAACGUUUUAAACUCCAAAAUUUUAAUAGUGGAAAUCUAACUUCCGGAUGCAUUUGUAGGAGUGGAGAUCAGACCUCAAAAAGUCUGGUUCUCCUCUCUUUGAAAGGUGACUUCAUGCACUUUAUUGUGUGUGACACUUCAGAGUAGAGCAGUGAGGUGAAAACUUCGGUUUUGGUUUCUGAAAUACAUCUGUAUCCGGUUAUUCUCUGUUCUACAACCCUUUUAUAAAACUAUAAACCCCAUGUACAACAACUUGAACUAAACAAAUUUUGUUUUCUCUUUUUGAGGAAAUGAAGUAAAAUCUGAACUUAAGAACAACUCUUAACAACGGAUAUCUUGGUUCUC
rnacentral:misc_RNA from 1 species